ACUUAGGUAGUUUAAUAUAAAAUAUUGAUUUGUGGUGUCAGCGAUAUAAUUUAUUUAUCUUAGGUU
rnacentral:tRNA from 1 species